rnacentral:rRNA from 1 species
UACGAAGGGGGCUAGCGUUGCUCGGAAUCACUGGGCGUAAAGCGCACGUAGGCGGAUUGUUAAGUCAGGGGUGAAAUCCUGGAGCUCAACUCCAGAACUGCCUUUGAUACUGGCGAUCUCGAGUCCGGGAGAGGUGAGUGGAACUGCGAGUGUAGAGGUGAAAUUCGUAGAUAUUCGCAAGAACACCGGUGGCGAAGGCGGCCUUCUGGACAGUGACUGACGCUGAGACGCGAAAGCGUGGGGAGCAAACAGG